rnacentral:rRNA from 1 species
AUGGCGGGCGUCAGCUGCCACUUCCUCACCUCGCCGGCGCCGGCGAGGCCGCUGCGCUCCCGCCCGAGCUUCCCCGCCGUCAGUGGCCGCGCCCACUGGCCGGGCAGAGUGCGAACUCGGAUCAGUUGCUGCUCCAACAAUUCAGAGGAGGAUUGCGCGAGAAGCGAGCCUCCCAGCGAUUCCAAGGAAGAAGAAAGUAUUAGCUCCAGGCGAAGAUGUCUAGCUUGCCUCUGUGCUGUAACAUUAAUCAGUGCAACGGGCCCAACGUUUUAUGCGCCAAAAGGAUUUGCCGCGGACAUGACGAACAAGCCUGGCAUUCAAAAAGCUGUAUGCAGAAAUUGCGGUGGCGGCGGUGCUAUAAUAUGUGACAUGUGUGGUGGCACAGGAAAAUGGAAGGCCCUCAACCGAAAGAGAGCAAAAGAUGUUUACGAAUUCACAGAAUGCCCAAAUUGCUAUGGCCGUGGGAAACUGGUGUGCCCAAUUUGUCUCGGAACCGGCGUGCCCAACAACAAAGGACUCCUGCGGCGACCGGGCGCCAAAGAGCUGCUGGACAAGAUGUACAAUGGCAAGCUAUUGCCCAGCUCGUAG